UACAGAGGGUGCAAGCGUUAUUCGGAAUUACUGGGCGUAAAGCGCACGUAGGUGGAAUAUCAAGUCAGGUGUGAAAUCCCGGGGCUCAACCUCGGAACUGCAUUUGAAACUGGUAUUCUUGAGUUUGGGAGAGGGAGGCGGAAUUCCUGGUGUAGAGGUGAAAUUCGUAGAUAUCAGGAGGAACAUCGGAGGCGAAGGCGGCUUCCUGGCCCAAAACUGACACUGAGGUGCGAAAGCGUGGGGAGCAAACAGG
rnacentral:rRNA from 1 species